UGAGGAAUAUUGCGCAAUGGGGGAAACCCUGACGCAGCAACGCCGCGUGAGUGAGGAAGGUUUUCGGACCGUAAAGCUCUGUCGAGUGGGAAGAAAUGCAUGGUGGCUAAUAUCCAUCAUGCUUGACGGUACCGCUAAAGGAAGCACCGGCUAACUCCGUGCCAGCAGCCGCGGUAAUACGGGGGGUGCUAGCGUUGUUCGGAAUCAUUGGGCGUAAAGAGCGUGUAGGCGGCUGGAUAAGUCAGAUGUGAAAGCCCUGGGCUUAACCCAGGAAGUGCAUUUGAAACUGUUCAGCUAGAGUAAGGGAGAGGAAAGUGGAAUUCCUGGUGUAGAGGUGAAAUUCGUAGAUAUCAGGAGGAACACCGGUGGCGAAGGCGACUUUCUGGCCCUAUACUGACGCUGAGACGCGAGAGCGUGGGUAGCAAACA
rnacentral:rRNA from 1 species